AACGAACGCUGGCGGCAGGCUUAACACAUGCAAGUCGAACGCCCCGCAAGGGGAGUGGCAGACGGGUGAGUAACGCGUGGGAACGUGCCCUUCGCUUCGGAAUAGCCCCGGGAAACUGGGAGUAAUACCGAAUACGCCGUAUUGGGAAAGAUUUAUCGGCGAAGGAUCGGCCCGCGUUAGAUUAGCUAGUUGGCGGUGUAAUGGACCACCAAGGCUACGAUCUAUAGCUGGUCUGAGAGGAUGAUCAGCCACACUGGGACUGAGACACGGCCCAGACUCCUACGGGAGGCAGCAGUGGGGAAUCUUGGACAAUGGGCGCAAGCCUGAUCCAGCCAUGCCGCGUGAGUGAAGAAGGCCUUAGGGUUGUAAAACUCUUUCGCCGGAGAAGAUAAUGACGGUACCGGGCGAGGAAGCCCCGGCUAACUACGUGCCAGCCGCCGCAGUAAAAC
rnacentral:rRNA from 1 species